rnacentral:misc_RNA from 2 species
CUCUCUCAAACCUUCGGGUUUGGUAUUGAGUGAUACUCUGUCAAGGGUUAACUUGAAAUAUUGACUUAGCAAGAGUGUACUAAUAAGCAGUCUUUCUGAAAUAAUGUAUUAGGUUCUUCCAACUCGUUAUAUCAGCUAGGCAGGUUUAGAAGUAUUUUAGGCUCGGCUUAACAACAAUAAACUAAAA